GUGCACCAGGCGCGAAUCGUGGACAAUGGGCGAAAGCCUGAUCCCGCGACGCCGCGUGGGGAAGAAGGCCUUCGGGUCGUAAACCCCUGUCAGGGAGGACGAAGGGUAGCUUGGCGAAUAGCCUUGCUACCUUGACGGUACUCCCAGAGGAAGCCCCGGCUAACUACGGUGCCAGGCAGCCGCGGUAAUACGUAGGGGCGAGCGUUGGCUCGGGAUUUACUGGGCGUAAAGGGGGCGUAGGCGGCCUCGCAAGUCGGUGGUGAAAGCCCUCGGCUCAACC
rnacentral:rRNA from 1 species